rnacentral:rRNA from 1 species
AUUGAACGCUGGCGGAAUGCUUUACACAUGCAAGUCGAACGGCAGCACGGGGGCAGCCCUGGUGGCGAGUGGCGAACGGGCGAGUAAUACAUCGGAACGUGCCCGGUCGUGGGGGAUAACGUAGCGAAAGUUACGCUAAUACCGCAUACGAUCUGAGGAUGAAAGCGGGGGACCUUCGGGCCUCGCGCGAUCGGAGCGGCCGAUGUCAGAUUAGGUAGUUGGUGGGGUAAAGGCCUACCAAGCCGACGAUCUGUAGCUGGUCUGAGAGGACGACCAGCCACACUGGAACUGAGACACGGCCCAGACUCCUACGGGAGGCAGCAGUGGGGAAUUUUGGACAAUGGGCGCAAGCCUGAUCCAGCCAUUCCGCGUGAAGGACGAAGGCCUUCGGGUUGUAAAAUGCUUUUGUACGGAACGAAAAGGCUCUGGCUAAUACCUGGGGCUCAUGACGGUACCGUAAGAAUAAGCACCGGCUAACUACGUG